rnacentral:rRNA from 1 species
AAUCCAUAGGUUAAUGAGGCGAACCGGGGGAACUGAAACAUCUAAGUACCCCGAGGAAAAGAAAUCAACCGAGAUUCCCCCAGUAGCGGCGAGCGAACGGGGAGGAGCCCAGAGCCUGAAUCAGCAUGUGUGUUAGUGGAAGCGUCUGGAAAGGCGCGCGAUACAGGGUGACAGCCCCGUACACAAAAGCGCAUGUGCUGUGAGCUCGAUGAGUAGGGCGGGACACGUGGUAUCCUGUCUGAAUAUGGGGGGACCAUCCUCCAAGGCUAAAUACUCCUGACUGACCGAUAGUGAACCAGUACCGUGAGGGAAAGGCGAAAAGAACCCCGGCGAGGGGAGUGAAAAAGAACCUGAAACCGUGUACGUACAAGCAGUGGGAGCACAGGUUUACCUGUGUGACUGCGUACCUUUUGUAUAAUGGGUCAGCGACUUAUAUUCUGUAGCAAGGUUAACCGAAUAGGGGAGCCGGAGGGAAACCGAGUCUUAAUUGGGCGUUAAGUUGCAGGGUAUAGACCCGAAACCCGGUGAUCUAGCCAUGGGCAGGUUGAAGGUUGGGUAACACUAACUGGAGGACCGAACCGACUAAUGUUGAAAAAUUAGCGGAUGACCUGUGGCUGGGGGUGAAAGGCCAAUCAAACCGGGAGAUAGCUGGUUCUCCCCGAAAGCUAUUUAGGUAGCGCCUCGUGAAUUCAUCUCCGGGGGUAGAGCACUGUUUCGGCUAGGGGGCCAUCCCGGCUUACCAACCCGAUGCAAACUGCGAAUACCGGAGAAUGUUAUCACGGGAGACACACGGCGGGUGCUAACGUCCGUCGUGAAGAGGGAAACAACCCAGACCGCCAGCUAAGGUCCCAAAGUCAUGGUUAAGUGGGAAACGAUGUGGGAAGGCCCAGACAGCCAGGAUGUUGGCUUAGAAGCAGCCAUCAUUUAAAGAAAGCGUAAUAGCUCACUGGUCGAGUCGGCCUGCGCGGAAGAUGUAACGGGGCUAAACCAUGCACCGAAGCUGC